UCCCUGGUGGCUCAGACGGUAAAGCAUCUGCCUGCAAUGCAGGAGACGUAGGUUUAAUCCCUGGGUUGGGAA
rnacentral:tRNA from 1 species